GAAAGAGAAGUAACUUGAAGUAAAGAAAAUCACCAGUGGCUUAGAACCAUGUCUUCUACAUAGCCAUCUCUGGGCCCUGGAUAGAAUGCUCAAGAGGACAGCCUAUGCCACAUUUAUGCCAGGCUUGCCCUUUCAAAUCUGGGAUCCCCUUGGAAUGCUAGGAGGUAAUGUCUUAAAUUGUGAAAGGGAUUUCAUGUUUCAAAUAUCCAUGACACCAUUCUAGACACCCAGUCCUCUUGGGAGCAAAGGACACGUUGAGGUUAUUUCUUGAAAAACCUGCUCCCUCCAGAGGCAUCAAGCAACUGCCUCUGCAGUUGAGGAAGAAUGGAGGAGGACGUGUCAUAAACCUAUUUCUAAAAUGUCCAAGGGAUACCCACCCCAAGCUAAGGACUCGCAAUCUUCCACAGGUCUUCACUGGGGUUAGAGAAGAACAGAUUCAAAGCCAUGCGCUUAGCACCCACCAAAUUCUCAGGCCAAUUCCCACAGCCAACAAAGGACUCUGAAGCAAGCAAGCACCAUCAUGGUAUCUCAGUGCGCCCUGCUCCAAGAGAGAUCAGGAGCAGAUCACAAAGACCUCACUGAUACAAAAGAGAAAUUACCAAACAUUUCAGACACCAAAGAGGACCAAGGAACAGUCCAGAUGUCCAAAGGAUAGGCCCAUUUUCAAUAAUGCUUUGGAAAAAGCCUUCAAAAUCGGCCUUUCUCCCAUUAACCAAACUUUUUUUUUUUUAAAC
rnacentral:lncRNA from 1 species